rnacentral:lncRNA from 1 species
UCUCGUCACUUUUAGCUACGGAUUAUUGCAUAAGAGGGUGUUAUGUGUCGGUUCGCUGAAAGUACCGAAUGCAAAAUAUUAUAUAAAAAUGUGUAUUUAAUUCUUUAUUUUAUUGUGAUUCUAUUUGGGCAUGUUCUCUAUCCAACCAAAAGUUAGAAAGUUUAAAGCACAAAAAAUUUCACUAAAUAUGAAUAGAUAUAAGUCCAAUUGAUAUACUCUGUAGGAUUCCAGGAAGUAUUUCUAGUAAGAGUUUUAAAAUUCAUAUCAUUGUUAUUGGUGGAAAGAUUUCUUUAAUAUGUUAUGUCAAGAAUUAAAAUAAUAAUAUGCAAUCUAAUUUAAUAAGAUGACUGUCCUUGAGUAAAAGGAGUCUAAUGAAUGUGAUCCAUGUUUGGUAUAAGGAGUAGUUUAUUUUUUUGUGAUUUUACAAAUUAUUAUGAUGCUUGAGCUUGCUUACUGCCAAAGUCCUAUUAUCUGCAGAAUGCAAGUCAAUGUUAAUAUAAGUGAAUCUGUCGGUUCAUAUUAAUUGAACUUCGUGUACGCUAAGUACUAAGCCUCGGAACAAACUAAUGAAUUGAACUCUAAUCUACGCACUUAUUUCACAAGAGAAUAAUAUUUUGUCACUAUCAAAAUAGGACCAUAUCUGCUCCUAUAUAAACCAAUUUCCCAACACUUAUCAGCACACAAACAGCAUAGCUUCCUGAACUUCGGUAUUCAACAUCUAAGCAUGGCAUCUCAUUUAGCAAUUUCACUAGCAUUUGUAUUCUCAGUGCUACUAUUACUAGUGGCAGGCUCUGAUGCUGGUGGAAUUUCUAUAUACUGGGGUCAGAAUGGGGGAGAGGGAACCUUGGCAGAGACUUGUGCCACAGGGAACUAUGAAUAUGUAAACUUAGCAUUUCUGACGACGUUUGGCAAUGGCCAAACACCCAUGUUGAACCUAGCUGGUCAUUGUGAUCCUACCAGCAAUGGCUGCACUGGCUUAAGCUCGGAUAUCAAGUCGUGUCAAGCACAAGGAAUUAAAGUAAUACUUUCUAUAGGAGGAGCUUCUGGUAGUUACUCUCUUGUAUCGGCUGCAGAUGCCAGAGAAGUUGCAACCUAUAUUUGGAACAACUUUUUAGGAGGAAAUUCUGCUACUCGCCCUCUUGGGAUUGCUGUUCUGGAUGGGGUGGAUUUUGACAUCGAGGGAGGAACAAGUGCACAUUGGGAUGAUCUUGCAAGGUAUCUUUCUGCUUAUAGCAAGCGCGGUAAGAAAAUUUACUUAACUGCAGCCCCUCAGUGCCCUUACCCUGAUGCAUGGGUUGGAGGUGCCCUUCAAACCGGACUUUUUGACUAUGUUUGGGUUCAAUUCUAUAACAACCCUCCUUGCCAAUACUCUUCUAGUGCUAUAAGUAACCUUGAGGAUGCAUGGAAGCAAUGGACUUCAGAUAUUCUGGCAAAAAAGAUCUUUUUAGGCCUACCUGCAGCUCCUGAUGCAGCUGGAAGUGGCUUCAUUCCUGCAAGUGAUCUCACCUCACAAGUGCUUCCAGCAAUUAAGGGAUCGUCCAAGUAUGGUGGUGUGAUGCUGUGGUCUAAAUACUACGACGAUCAAUCUGGAUAUAGUUCUUCCAUCAAGAGCGACGUGUGAAGUCUAAAAAUACUUAUAUUGCACUGUGUAUUACAUAGUAGUCAAAUGAUUGUCUAAGAACACUUGAGUAUCAUCUUCGUGUUAUUGUAUGUGCAUAUAUGAAGACUAUUUAUCUGAAUGUGAUCCAUGUUUUGUAUAUGAAGUACUUUAUCUUUUGUGAUUUACAAAUUAUUCUGCCUUGGCCAAAAUCCCUAUGAUAUCUGCAAAAUGCAAGUCUAAUAAGUGAAUGGCCACUUUCUUCUAGCUAUGGGAUGGUAUAAUUUUCCAUCACAUAAUAUAUACAUACAUCUCAUCCGUUCCACAAAAAUAGUCCUAUUUAUAAAUUCUGUAAAUAUAAAGGAUAAAUUAUUUAUUCCAUAUAUGCCCCUAAAAUAGAAAAUUGUUCGUUUUGUACUGUGGUAUGAUAAUGACAUUAUGAUGCCAAACAAAUGCAUGAGGACUGCAUGUCAUUUUAUAUUACUGUGGUAUGUCUGUUUGUGGGGGGGAAAAAUAUCGCAUUCAUUCACAUUAUUAGAACUAUACUGGAAAAGGGGAUCUUAGAUGGGAAUGUGAGACUUGGAACAGACUAAACAAAGAGAAGGGGCUAGGGUGUUUGUUGAAUCUUGAUAGGUACUAGGAAUCAAGACCAUUACUAAUCUCUGAUGAAAAUGGAGUUUAGGCACAUUAUGUUCUUGUCCAUUUUUCGAUUAGUCUUCUAAACAAGUUGAAAUUGUUUGAAAUGGUCUAUAAAAAAGCCUAGUUGACACCAUUUAAGUAGUACUACUUUUUUCCUUAACAGAAAUACAUAAUUAUCUUAGACGGCGUUUGGCAUUAAGAUAGAAUUACACAUGACAAUAGGCUGAGAUUUGUUUUUGUGUCAAGGAGUUGGUAAAAGGCCUUUAAAGACAAAAUUUAGAACAAUUUGUUGAAAUAAAUUCUAAAUAGAACAUACCCUCAAAGUACACAUGAAAAAAAUUUACUUAAAUUAAAUAAAAUAAAAUAAAGAAGGCAAAUAUCUUAGGCUUAAGAGAAGGAAAAUUUAAAUGGGAAACUAGAGCUAAUGUCAAAAAAUAAAAGUGGAUAUAGCUCUUCCAUCAAGAAGCAUGUUUAAGAAUAAGUUUUAUAUUCUAAUUGUCAUUCUAAGUGAAUCCAAGGCCAUUUGAAUAAAGGUUUCGGUUACUUCAUCAAGAGACAAAGCGAUUUAAAAGCUGAAAGCUUUAGUUGUCAGAAUAAGGAGUUCUAUAAAAAUCAUGUUCCUCUAACACUGAAUGAACUUAAUUAGCUUAUACCAUUAGUUAUCUUAGCAUGGCAUCUUUUCAGUCUGCUAUAUCUAUGUUCAUUCCUAAUCAUGUGGUAGAAAGGUAUGGAUACCUUAACAUAGUUCUUCAUCUGUUUCAGCAGAAUAUCGCCUCAUCUGCAGAACUAGGGGUUGAAAUAACAAAAAGGAUAAAUUUCAUAAUGUUUUUGAUGACCUUAAGGACAACAUUAACAAACUAUGAAUUCUAAUAGUCCAAGAUCAUAUAUUUUGACAUUUGAUAUGAAAUAAGACAAUGUACCAUUCUUAGCAAACUUAUUUAAGCUUAUGCUUGACCAAUCUUAUAUAAAAAUAGAUAAUAAAGACAAAAGGAUGUUGACAAAGCUUAGAGAUAAUCAGAUUUCAGAUAUGAAUAUAGCUAUAAAAAAUUCUAAAGAUUUGGCUAAUAUCAUCAACCCCGUGUACGCUAACUAAGACUUAGAACAAACUAUUUAAUUGAACUCUAAACUACGCAGUUAUUUGACGUGAGAACAAUAUUUUGUCACUAUCAAAUAGGACCCUAUCUGCUGUUAUAUAAAGCAAUUUUUCCAGCACUUAUCAGCACACAAACAGCAUAGCUUUCUGUAGUUCAGUAUUCAACAACUAACUAACUAUGGCAUCUCAUUUGUCGAUUUCACUAGCAUUUGUGUUCUCAGUGGUACUAUUACUAGUGGCAAAUUCUGAUGCUGGUGGAAUUUCCAUCUACUGGGGUCAGAAUGGGGGAGAGGGAACCUUGGCAGAGACUUGUGCCACAGGGAACUAUGAAUAUGUAAACUUAGCAUUUCUGACGACGUUUGGCAAUGGCCAAACACCCAUGUUGAACCUAGCUGGUCAUUGUGAUCCUACCAGCAAUGGCUGCACUGGCUUAAGCUCAGAUAUCAAGUCGUGUCAAGCACAAGGAAUUAAGGUAAUACUUUCUAUAGGAGGAGCUUCAGGUAGUUACUCUCUUGUAUCGGCUGCAGAUGCCAGAGAAGUUGCAACCUAUAUUUGGAACAACUUUUUAGGAGGAAAUUCGGCUACUCGCCCUCUUGGGAAUGCUGUUCUGGAUGGGGUGGAUUUUGACAUCGAGGGAGGAACAAGUGCACAUUGGGAUGAUCUUGCAAGGUAUCUUUCUGCUUAUAGCAAGCGCGGUAAGAAAGUUUACUUAACUGCAGCCCCUCAGUGCCCUUACCCUGAUGCGUGGGUUGGAGGUGCCCUUCAAACAGGACUUUUUGACUAUGUUUGGGUUCAAUUCUAUAACAACCCUCCUUGCCAAUACUCUUCUAGUGCUAUAGGUAACCUUGAGGAUGCAUGGAAGCAGUGGACUUCAGAUAUUCCGGCAAAAAAGAUCUUCCUAGGCCUACCUGCAGCUCCUGAUGCAGCUGGAAGUGGCUUCAUUCCUGCAAGUGAUCUCACCUCACAAGUGCUUCCAGCAAUUAAGGGAUCUUCCAAGUAUGGUGGUGUGAUGCUGUGGUCUAAGUACUACGACGAUCAAUCUGGAUAUAGUUCUUCCAUCAAGAGCGAUGUGUGAAGUCUAAAAAUACUUAUAUUGCACUGUGUAUUACAUAGUAGUCAAAUGAUUGUCUAAGAACACUUAAGUGUCAUCGUCCUGUCAUGUGUGUAUGUGUGUGAAGACUAUGUGGUCCAUGUUUUGUAAAAAAAGUACUUUAUUUGAAGUAUGCCAAAGUCCCUAUGCAUGUUAUCUGCAGAAUGCAAGUCUAUCUAAGGGAAUCUGUCAAUUCAUAUACAACUAUAAAUUGCAGUUGCUUCGGGGUUAUUUCCAUAACAGAAGCUUUUAUAGUGCUAAAGGAAUUCAACACAACUUAACUUACAAUGGAAUUUCACCAUAUUCCUUCUAAAUAUAUUUUUUUUCUUUUUGUGGGUGUUUUGGAUUGGUACAACUUUCAAGUCAUAUCAUUACACGCUUGUUAUAUACUUAUACCCUAGAACCAGUUAAGUGAUUGAUCAUUCUGUAGUAGUCUUUUUCUUAUUUUGGCUUUGUCUAGCUUGAAAGACAACUAUUAGCUCCCAUAACAAAAUUUUAAGCUGUAAAAUGAACUAUGAACCUUUUUCCUCUUUUUGCAGAAUUGAUGUAUAAUUUACCUCAGACUCCCAUAUGGUUUUGGAGUACAUUGUAUGGGCUUAGUAUUGAUAUGUCCCAAAAGAUUAUCUCAGUUUUAACACCACAGUAAGUUAUACAUCCUAUAAUGGUAAUUAUACAUCUACAAAAUUCUAUAAUCCCUUCAUCAAUACUUAGUGUUUCCUAAAGACAAGUCUUGAAUAAUAUGAAUGUUCCAACCUUGCAUGUCUAAUAUAGUUUUAUGAUGUGUUGGAGCUAAGCUCAAACAUAUUUGGUUCACAAUUGGGGUAAUGAUCCUGUAAAGAUGGUAAAAGGUUGUUUCAUUAAGUUUUAAUUUUAAAAGGUUGAUGUAAAUGUCUGAUUAAUAUAGCUUGCAUAAUUGUAAACCAACAAAGUUAGCUUGCAUGUUUUUCCUCAAAUCUAAAUUAAGCCACAGUAGUUCUUUAUUAACCUCUUUGGAAGAGAAAACCACUUCCUUUUAAAGAAUAAAUUAAGGUUCAAUUCGAAAGAAAGGACAAAGACCAAACUAUAUAGUAUAUGCUUAAGGUCUUAGUAAUCAGCUGGUGACAAAUAUGAAAAGCUAAACAUGCACAAACAGUUUACUAAAGAAGACAACAGCAACAGACAUCAGAAUGGUAAACUUACCUAAAGUAGAGACAGAGAAUCUAAUGUUUCAAAUUUCCACUUAAGGAUGUGAACAUAUGUUAUCAACUAUACCUAAGUUUGUACCAUAGGAAAACAUGUCAAAGUUAAUAGAAGUGGCGUGACGAUAAUUGCUUAAAAAAUCUAAACUGUUAAGUUUAAUUCCUUUUGGAAGCACCUAUUAUACAUGAGGACAAUAGUUUAGAGCUAGUUUUGAAUUCUCAUCAACCCCCGUAUACGCUGACAAAAGGCUACAAUGGAGUGACUUUUAAGUUGUGCAUCUUCUUAAAAAGAGCGCAAAGUCAUGCCUAUCAUUAUAUGACAUUCCCCUUCCUAUAUAUGAUCAGAACCUAAAACAUGUUAGGCUUAACAAAAUUCAAUCCUUAAUCUAAAUAGUCUGCAACAACUAAAAAUGGCACCCCAAUUAGCAUUUUCACUAACGUUCUUACCCUUUCUGAUGUUAUUAUUAGUGGGAUUUUCAAAUGCUGGUGGGAUUGCUAUAUACUGGGGUCAAAAUGGGGGAGAGGGAACCUUAGCAGAGACUUGUGCUACAGGAAACUAUAAAUUUGUGAAUAUAGCUUUUCUUCCAACUUUUGGCAAUGGUCAGACUCCUAUGAUAAACCUAGCAGGCCAUUGCGAUCCGUAUACCAAUGGCUGCAUCAGUUUAAGCUCUGACAUAAAAUCUUGUCAAGCUAAAGGAGUUAAAGUAAUGCUUACCAUUGGAGGAGGAGUUGGAAGCUACUACCUUACCUCAGCUGCAGAUGCUAGACAAGUUGCAACUUACCUUUGGAACAACUUUUUAGGUGGAAAAUCGCCUUCUCGUCCUCUUGGUGAUGCUGUUUUAGAUGGAAUUGACUUUGACAUUGAAGGAGGAACAAACCUACAUUGGGAUGAACUUGCAAGUUAUCUUUCUGCUUAUAGCAAAAUUGGUAAAAAAGUUUACUUAACUGCAGCACCUCAGUGCCCUUUUCCUGAUGCUUGGAUUGGAAAUGCCCUUGAGACAGGACUUUUCGACUAUGUUUGGGUACAAUUCUAUAACAACCCUCCAUGCCAAUAUUCUUCUAGUGCUAUAAGUAACCUUGAGGAUGCAUGGAAUCAGUGGACUUCUGAUAUUCCGGCUACAAAGAUUUUUCUUGGGCUACCUGCAUCUCCUGAGGCAGCAGGAAGUGGCUUCGUUCCUGCGGCUGAUCUUACUGCUAAAGUUAUGCCUGCAAUUAAGGGGUCUGCCAAGUAUGGAGGUGUAAUGCUGUGGUCCAAGUAUUAUGAUGAUCAAACUAAUUAUAGUUCUUCCAUUAAGAGCCAUGUUUAGAGACCUCAAGUGCUGAAGAUUUUCUUGUGCAUAAUUUGUAUGGACUUUUUUACAUGUAAACUUGAGGGCAUAUAUGAUAUCUAUGUAAUUUGUCUGUUGUUAUAUUAAAAAAAUGGUCUUGUGAUUUGCAAUGUUCUAAGUAUGCCUUAAAUAUUAUUGAAUCAAUUUGUUCACGCAAACAAAUUCUUUUUGUUGUAUCGGUCCAAUUUUUCUAUCCAAUUUAUU